rnacentral:lncRNA from 1 species
UAAAUGCAUCUCAUAUGACAUAUACAACUCAUAGGCAACAUGUACGACAAUGUCGGAGUUGCCUAAAACAUAAUAUAGUCAUGCCAUCACUCGAUCAUUUCAACUAAUACUAUAAACUCACCUGAACUUACCUGGGUGUCCUGCGUUAGCCUUUGCACUUCAAAGCGUUUACAAUAAUUAUGUGCAGGUAAUAUACAUAUAGAUAAACCAUGAUACAAUCUAAUACUCAACCAUGUUAUAACAUUUUUCCAAUAUA